UUAAGAGUUGCUUGAGCGUUCUUUUCAUUGACUCUUCUCUAUUUGAACAGGUGAAAUACAGAAACGCUAAACAGGGUGAAAAGGAGGAAUUGUAUGCCCUUGAUGGAGACUGGCAACUAAUGGAAAACGGGCAUAAUGGCUUGAGGGCUCAGUCGCAGAGCUAUACGUCUCCAAUGUACGACAAAGUACUUGGAUCUGACAACAAGGCAUAUCAGCUUGACAGUGCAUUGUAAAUUUAAUGAAAAAGAAAAAAUCAUCAACGAGGUCGAAAAGAUCAGCCAGUUUAAAAUGCCUCUUAGAACUCUGUGGCCUCAUCCUAACAGUUGGUUUGAUAACAAAAUGACCUUAAUUUAUAUAUUCAAGCUAUCCAAGUUGAUGGUAAUAAAAUUCUGUUUCUCUGAGGUAUCACUUAACUUCACGUGCGAUAAAUUCGUUACAUACUAUUUCAGAAAAAAACGACAAACAUUUGAGGGAUUUAAGGAUCUAGAAAGUGUAACCGACAUUGAAAAUAUGUACACAGUUUUUUUCAUGAAUUAUUUUACAUUUGUCCAGUUAACAAACAAAUAAACCCAAUGCCGUGGGACCGUUUGGUAACAGAUCGGAUAUCAAGUCAACUUGACGUGUUGAAAGAAUCAGUGAUCAAUUACACUCUCACCUGCGUCACGAACUUUUUGUUCGUACAUCAUUUUGACAUGUCAUGUACUUCUUACCUUACAAAGACAACGAAGUGAUAUCUGCAAAGCUGGAAAGGCUAGACUUAUUUGGCACAUGUGCAAAUCUCCUAAGAUUUUAUAAGAUAUUAUUCUACCUAAAAUAGCAAGGACAAAAAAGGAAAUUUGAAUCAAGAACAGCAGUACGUUCGCAUGAAUAAUGAAAUUGUGUGUCGGUCAUCCUCAGAGGUACUUGUGCAGCGGGAGAUAUUUGUUACUUAACGCAAACUUAACGAUGCAGAGAACUUAGUGAGUAACUAUGAACCAAAGGGCUAGGACAAUUUUUCAAGUUUACUCUUUGAUAUGCUUAGUGGUCAAUUUUUGUGAGCUUUCGUCUCAAUACCGCUAAUAAAUUAGUUUCUAUUUUGCAACAA